rnacentral:tRNA from 1 species
GAAGGUGGGGCUCAGUGGUAGAGUGCUUGUCUUGCAUGCAUGAGGCUCUGGGUUCGAUUCCUCACCACCA